rnacentral:misc_RNA from 1 species
UCCGGUUUGUCACCGGCAGUCUCCUUAGAGUUCCCGCCAUUACGCGCUGGCAACUAAGGACAAGGGUUGCGCUCGUUACGGGACUUAACCCAACAUCUCACGACAUUCCGGUGCAUGUCAAGCCCUGGUAUGGUUCUUCGCGUUGCGUCGAAUUAAACCACAUGCUCCGCUGCUUGUGCGGGCCCCCGUCAAUUCCUUUGAGUUUUAGCCUUGCGGCCGUACUCCCCAGGCGGGGUGCUUAAUGCGUUAGCUUCGGCACGGGCGGAGUCGACACCGCCCACACCUAGCACCCAUCGUUUACGGCGUGGACUAC